rnacentral:lncRNA from 1 species
AAUUUACUUGCCACAGCUAAAUCUAAGAGCUAUUAAUGGAUCAGAGCUGCCUUUUAAUUUAAUUAUUUUUUAUAGCUACACUGAAGUUUCAAUUUACCGAUCAUAGCUAAUACCAAAUACACUAACUUAUUCCAUUGUAUAAUCUUUUCUCUCAACCCUCUUUCUCUCUUCUCCCUCAGCUCUCUCUCAUUUCCCUCUCUUCUCCCUCGCCGACAGAAAAGACAUCGCCAACCGUCUUCUCCGCCGGAGCUCUACGGAGCCCAACUAAACUGCUUCUUUUUUUUCUUUCCCACACAUCACCGCCCUCGGCUCUAUACCCCAUUCAUCGCGUAUCACGCAUAAACACCGUCUCCACCUACCGUCAGAUCAAAAUCUGAAACUACGAAGUUGUGAUCAAUACAUUAAUAGCGGUGAAAACAACGGAGGAGGAAGAUCGAAGGCGUCACAUGAUCUUGAUCUAACGGAGAUGCCAGAAUCCCUGAUCUCUUCUCCUUUGUAUCUCACAUCUGAAUGUAUUUGUCUGACCUGAGACUUAUUCCUCCAUCACUACUUUCACACCAAAAAAAGAAGCCGCCUCUUCUCCACUGCCUUUUACGUCGGAAAAUCGUUAUAUAAGUAUAGUAUAUUUUGUAUUUUUGUCAAAGAUCUAAGUGUAUUUGAAAUUUUUGCCAGAGAUCUGACGGGGUUUGAUUGUAUUAUUUAUUUUUAAAUAUAAUGUAUUUUGUAUUCUCAUUGGAGAUUUGACCAUAUUCUUUAUUCUUUUUAGUUAAAUACAGUUAAUUUUGAAAAGGAUUUGAAUGUAUUCUUCAUUUUUUAGUGUAAGUAUACGGUAUUUUGUAUUUUGCUUGGGUUUGGUUGUAUUCUUCCUUUUUAAAUAUAGUGUAUUACGUAAUUUCGUCAGAGAUUUGAUCGGAUUUGGCAGUAUUCUGCGUUUCAUUGUCUUUUUAGUGUAAAUACAUUUAAAUACAGUAGAAUACAUUCAAUAUUGCCACAUCAAAUAAGGUUAGAUACAAUUGAACAAUGUAUUAAAAACACAUUCAAAUACAAGGGAUUAUCGUAUCAUCCUUAAAACAUCGUCUCCACCCACCGUCAGAUCAAAAUCUGAAAUUACGAAGUUGCGAUCAAUCCAUUAAUAGCAGUGAAAACAACGGAGGAGGAAGAUCAAACGCGUCACAUGAUAUUGAUCUAACAGAGCUGCCAGAAUCCAUGAUAUCUUCUCCUUUGUAUCUCACAUCUGAAUGUAUUUGUCUGACCCGAGACUUAUUCCUCCAUCACUACUUUCACACCAAAAAAAGAAGCCGCCUCUUCUCCACUACAUUUCACAUCGGAAAAUCGUUAUAUAAAUAUAGUAUAUUUUAUAUUCUUGUCAGAGAUCUAAGUGUAAUUGAGAUUUUUGCCAGAGAUCUGACAGGGUUUGAUUGUAUUAUUUAUUUUUAAUAUAAUGUAUUUUGUAUUCUCAUUGGAGAUUUGACCAUAUUCUUUAUUUUUUUAUAGUUAAAUACAGUUAAUUUUCAAAAGGAUUUGAAUGUAUUCUUCAUUUUUAGUGUAAGUACCCAGUAUUUUAUAUUCUGCUUGGGUUUGAUUGUAUUCUUCCUUUUUAAAUAUAAUGUAUAACGUAAUUUCCUCAGAGAUUUGACCGGAUCUGGCAGUAUUCUCCGUUUCAUCGUCUUUUUAGGGUAAAUACAGUAGAAUACAUUCAUAUUGCCACAUCAAAUAAGGUUGGAUAUAACUGAACAAUGUAUUAAAAAUACACUCAAAUACAAGGGAUUAUCGUAUCACCCUUAAAAACCGUCUCCACCCACCGCCAGAUCAAAAUAUGAAAUUUGAAAGUUGUGAUCAAUCCAUUAAUAGCGGUGAAAACAACGGAGGAGGAAGAUCGAAAGCGUCACAUGAUCUUGAUCUAACAGAGAUGCAAGAAACCAUGAUACCUUCUCCUUUAUAUCUCACAUCUGACUGUAUUUGUCUAACCUGAGACUUAAUCCAUCACUACUUUCACACCAAAAGAAGAAGCCGCCUCCUCUCCACUGCCUUUCAUGUCAGAAAAUCGUUAUAUAAAUAUAGUAUAUUUUAUAUUUUUAAGUGUAUUUGAGAUUUUUGCCAGAGAUCUAAGUGUAUUUGAGAUUUUUGCCAGAGAUCUGACGUGGUUUGAUUGUAUUAUUUAUUUUUAAAUAUAAUGUAUUUUGUAUUCUCACUAGAGAUUUGACCGUAUUCUUUAUUUAUUUUUAGUUAAAUACAGUUAAUUUUCAAAAGGAUUUGAAUGUAUUCUUCAUUUUUUAGUGUAAGUGCACGGUAUUUUGUAUUUUGCUUGGGUUUGAUUGUAUUCUUCCUUUUUAAAUAUAGUGUAUUAUGUGAUUUCAUCAGAGAUUUGACCGAAUUUGGCAGUAUUCUUCGUUUCAUCGUCUUUUUAGUGUAAAUACAUUUAAAUACAGUAGAAUACAUUCAAUAUUGCCACAUCAAAUAAGGUUGGAUACAACUGAACAAUAUAUUAAAAAUACACUCAAAUACAAGGGACUAUCGUAUCACCCUUAAACACCGUCUCCACCUACCGUUAGAUCAAAAUCUGAAAUUACGAAGUUGCGAUCAAUUCAUUAAUAGCGGUGAAAACAACGAAGGAGGAAGAUCGAAGGCAUCACAUGAUCUUGAUCUAGCGGAGAUGCAAGAAUCCAUGAUAUAUUCUCAGUCCUUUGUAUCUCACAUCUGAAUGUAUUUGUCUGACCUAAGACUUAUUCCUCCAUCACUACUUUCACACCAAAAAAAGAAGCCGCCUCUUCUCCACUGCCUUUCACGUCGGAAAAUCGUUAUAUAAAUAUAGUAUAUUUUAUAUUCUUGUCAGAGAUCUAAGUGUAUUUGAGAUUUUUGCCAGAAAUCUGACGGGGUUUGAUUGUAUUAUUUAUUUUUUAAAUAUAAUUUAUUUUGUAUUCUCAUUGGAUAUUUGACUGUAUUCUUUAUUUUUUUAGUUUAAUACAGUCAAUCUUGAAAAGGAUUUGAAUGUAUUCUUCAUUUUAUUAGUGUAAGUACACGGUAUUUGUAUUUUGCUUGGGUUUGAUUAUAUUCUUCCUUUUUAAAUAUAGUGUAUUACGUAAUUUCGUCGGAGAUUUGACCGGGUUUGGCAGUAUUCGCCGUUUCAUCAUCUUUUUAGUGUAAAUACAUUUAAUAUUGCCACAUCAAAUAAGGUUAGAUACAACUGACAAUGUAUUAAAAAUACACUCAAAUACAUGGGAUUAUUGUAUCACCCUUAAACACCGUCUCCACCCACCGACAGAUCAAAAUAUGAAAUUACGAAGUUGCGAUCAAUUCAUUAAUAGCGGUGAAAACAACGGAGGAGGAAGAUCUCACAUGAUCUUGAUCUAACGGAGAUGCAAGAAUCCAUGAUAUCUUCUCCUUUGUAUCUCACAUCUAAAUGUAUUUGUCUGACCUGAGACUUAUUCCUCCAUCACUACUUUCACACCAAAAAAAGAAGCCACCACUUCUCCACUGCCUUUCACGUCGGAAAAUCGUUAUAUAAAUAUAGUAUAUUUUAUAUUAUUUUUUGUCAGAGAUCUAAGCGUAUUUGAGAUUUUUUCCAGAGAUCUGAC